UCACUCUCUUCCUGGAGGCCUUAGAGGGCACUGAGUCUGUCAUCCCAAGGGACAAGUUUCAGAACAUCACCAGUGCCGUGUUCUACCAGCUCUAUGACGACAGCAAGCAGCACAGCGAGGCUGAUCGUGCACAGCUGACCCACUGCAUCAUGCUGCAGGCCCGGAUCUGCCCAGAGGAAAUGAUCCUGUUUCUGCAGUCGCAGCUGGGAGAUGACUGGGAGGCUGGAUGCGUGGCAGCCCUGGGUCUGCUGGGUACUCUGGCUCGCUCUGAUGGUCAGUACCACCGGCUGGGACUUCCA